rnacentral:rRNA from 1 species
ACUCAAAGGAAUAGACGGGGGCCCGCACAAGCGGUGGAGCAUGUGGUUUAAUUCGACGCAACGCGAAGAACCUUACCUGGGUUUGACAUGCAUCGGACCGGUGGUGAAAGCCACCUUCCCUUCGGGGCUGAUGCACAGGUGCUGCAUGGCUGUCGUCAGCUCGUGUCGUGAGAUGUUGGGUUAAGUCCCGCAACGAGCGCAACCCUCGUCCUCUGUUGCUACCGGGUCAUGCCGGGCACUCUGAGGAGACUGCCCCGGUGAACGGGGAGGAAGGUGGGGAUGACGUCAAGUCCUCAUGGCCUUUAUAUCCAGGGCUACACACGUGCUACAAUGGUCAGGACAAUGGGUCGCUCCCUCGCAAGAGGUUGCCAAUCUCAAAAACCUGAUCCUAGUUCGGAUGGUCGGCUGCAACUCGCCGGCCUGAAGCUGGAAUCGCUAGUAAUCGGAGAUCAGCACGCUCCGGUGAAUACGUUCCCGGGCCUUGUACACACCGCCCGU